rnacentral:tRNA from 1 species
GUGGCUGUAGCUCAAUAGGCAGAGCACCGCACUGUGGAUGCGGCUGUUGAGGGUUCAAGUCCCUUCAGCCACCCCU